GCUGGUAGUGGGGCUGGGGGCUUUGUGGAGUCCUUGAAUUGGAGCGACCCUGGGUCCUCUGGUUGUCCCCUGGAGGGGAGGGCCCACGGGCGGGGACAUCGGGGCGCGCCCUUCCCACGGCUCGGUUCUUUUGGGCGUGACUCACCGGGGGGCGUUUCCUGAGACCCUCGGGGAUCUCAGAGGCGAGGUAACCUGAGGACCGGACAGACUGAUCCUGGGAACACUGAGCCCGGCCACUCCUGUGGAUCUGGAGAAACGCCUGUGGCCAAGGCUGAAGUUCAAGGCCCUGUGUUCCUGGUGGAACUGACUUUUGUGGCAAGUCAAGCUCAGGAACAAGACGUUGUCAUCACAGGGUUGGAGCAGUGACUGUCUUCACCUGGCCAGCCGGUCAAUGGCUUCCUGAGAUGGAGCCUGGGAGGGUAAGAGCAGACUUCGGGGUGCAGUGGGCGCCACGCCAUUCAGCUCGGUUGGCCUACACGAGGUAAAUUGUUCUCCAGAUAAGCCUCUCACCCAGGCCUGAUUGCUAGAAGAAUCUAAAAUGAGUGUGAGCCCAG
rnacentral:lncRNA from 1 species